rnacentral:snRNA from 1 species
UAGUGUUACAGCUCUUUGAGAUUUGUCUAGCAGCCCUUUGGGUCUUUACUGAAGCCCC